CCUACGGGAGGCAGCAGUGGGGAAUAUUGGGCAAUGGAGGCAACUCUGACCCAGCAAUGCCGCGUGAGUGAUGAAGGUAAUUUUAUUGUAAAGCUCUUUUCUUUGGAACGAAUAAAUGACGGUACCAAAGGAAUAAGCCCCGGCUAACUACGUGCCAGCAGCCGCGGUAAUACGUAGGGGGCAAGCGUUGUUCGGAAUGACUGGGCGUAAAGGGUGUGUAGGUGGGUUGAUAAGUUAGAUGUGUAAUACCCAGGGCUUAACUCGGGUGCUGCAUCUAAAACUGUUAGACUUGAGUACUGGAGAGGAUAGUGGAAUUCCUAGUGUAGCGGUGAAAUGCGUAGAGAUUAGGAGGAACACCAGUGGCGAAGGCGGCCUGCUGGACGACAACUGACGGUGAGGCGCGAAAGCGUGGGGAGCAAACAGGAUUAGAUACCCUUGUAGUC
rnacentral:rRNA from 1 species